GACGAACGCUGGCGGCGUGCUUAACACAUGCAAGUCGAACGGUGAAGCCCUUCGGGGUGGAUCAGUGGCGAACGGGUGAGUAACACGUGAGCAACCUGCCCCUGACUCUGGGAUAACUACCGGAAACGGUGGCUAAUACCGGAUAUGACGCCCUGUCGCAUGGUGGGGUGUGGAAAGUUUUUCGGUCAGGGAUGGGCUCGCGGCCUAUCAGCUUGUUGGUGGGGUGAUGGCCUACCAAGGCGACGACGGGUAGCCGGCCUGAGAGGGCGACCGGCCACACUGGGACUGAGACACGGCCCAGACUCCUACGGGAGGCAGCAGUGGGGAAUAUUGCGCAAUGGGCGAAAGCCUGACGCAGCGACGCCGCGCGAGGGAUGAAGGCCUUCGGGUUGUAAACCUCUUUCAGCAGGGAAGAAGCGAAAGUGACGGUACCUGCAGAAGAAGCACCGGCUAACUACGUGCCAGCCGCCGCGGUAACAC
rnacentral:rRNA from 1 species